AACAACAGGGAUUGCCUCAGUAACGGCGAGUGAAGCGGCAACAGCUCAAAUUUGAAAUCUGCCGCAAGGCCGAGUUGUAAUUUGUAGAGGAUGCUUCUGGGCAGCGGCCGGUCUAAGUUCCUUGGAACAGGACGUCAUAGAGGGUGAGAAUCCCGUAUGCGACCGGUUGGCACCCGUCACGUAGCUCCUUCGACGAGUCNAGUUGUUUGGGAAUGCAGCUCUAAAUGGGUGGUAAAUUCCAUCUGAAGCUAAAUACCGGCCAGAGACCGAUAGCGCACAAGUAGAGUGAUCGAAAGAUGAAAAGCACUUUGGAAAGAGAGUUAAAAAGCACGUGAAAUUGUUGAAAGGGAAGCGCAUGCAACCAGACUUGUCGGCGGUGUUCCGCCGGUCUUCUGACCGGUCUACUCGCCGCCGACAGGCCAGCAUCGUGUGGGUGUGCCGGAUAAAGGCGUCGGGAAUGUGGCCCCUCGGGGUGUUAUAGCCCGGCGCAUAAUACGGUGCCGCCCGCGCGAGGUCCGCGCUUCGGCUAGGAUGCUGGCGUAAUGGUCGUAUGCGGCCCGUCUUGAAACACGGACCAAGGAGUCUAACAUCUGUGCGAGUGUUCGGGUGUCAAACCCCUACGCGGAAUGAAAGUGAACGGAGGUGGGAGCUUCGGCGCACCAUCGACCGAUCCUGAUGUCCUCGGAUGGAUUUGAGUAAGAGCGUAGCUGUUGGGACCCGAAAGAUGGUGAACUAUGCCUGAAUAGGGUGAAGCCAGAGGAAACUCUGGUGGAGGCUCGCA
rnacentral:rRNA from 1 species